CUGAGUUACCGGACUUUGGUGGCGCGGGAAGGAGCCAUUCCUCCUCUGGUCGCUCUGUCUCAGGCCGGAACUAGUCGGGCUAAACAGAAGGCGGAGAUGCUGAUUGGGCUCCUACGGCAACCGAGAUCCGGCAACGCCGCUGCUCCUGCUGCCACUGCCAGGGCGUCUUCUGAUGUGUCAGUUGCUUAGUAGCUGCUGCAUCAUGUCUACAACAUGCCACAUGGGGAGGCCAUGCCACCGUCUCAUCGUAGGCUUAUCGGUUAGCGGUGGUUGCAAAGGGGGCUUGAAAAGAAAAGAAAAGAAAAGAAAUACUAGUACGUACCACGGCACUAGUUCUGAGAUAUUUUAGUCUGAUGAUGAAAAAGAAAAUAGAUGGGAAAAAGGAGUAAGAUCAAACUGUAUAUAAGCGGUCAAUUGUAAAUGAAAACUUCAUAAUGUAAAUUGGUGAAAACUAAUCAUCAUCACAUCGGUUGCUUGGUUUGGGGUUUUUUUUUUUUUUUUUUUUUUUUUUUUUGUAUUUUGAGGCAGUUUUGGCCUUCGGAGAAAAGAGCUUUUUGGAUUUGGGUGAAGUUGAGGAGGCUUUGGUCUGUGGGUAUUCCGUGGUUGGUUGUGCUUAGUUGUGUGUGCUAUCGAAGUUUUUCACUUUUGACUUUAUAUCUUGAAAAGAUGCGAAUUCUGCCACCUUCUGGUUCUGGAA